rnacentral:misc_RNA from 1 species
GUGAAUCAUCAAAUCUUUGAACGCAACUUGCACUCUCUGGCAUUCCGGAGAGUAUGCCUGUUUGAGGGUCAUUUUAUAUACAAAUCGAGGUGUUGCUGUUUGGUGACCCAUCGGAAUUGGUUUAUCUUUGAGCUUUUAAAAAGCGUAAGUUACCUAAAAUUGAUACCUUGUGCAUCUCUGACGUACAUUAGAAUAUUUUUUUAUCCGUCCGGAGUUUCCAACUGUUUAUUAGGUAUGACCAGGCUUUUUGUGCCAUC